GCCCAUGACACCUUGCUUAGCCACACCCUCAAGGGAACUCAGCAGUGAUAAACAUUAAGCUAUAAGUGAAAACUUGACUUAGUCAAAGCUAAGAGGGCCGGUAAAACUCGUGCCAGCCACCGCGGUUAUACGAGAGGCCCAAACUGAUAGUCUCCGGCGUAAAGAGUGGUUAAAAUAAAUUAAAAACUAAAGCUGAAUAUCCUCAAAGCUGUUAUACGCAUCCGAGGACAAGAAAUUCAAUUUACGAAAGUAGCUUU
rnacentral:rRNA from 1 species